AGAGUGAACGCUGGCGGCAGGCCUAACACAUGCAAGUCGAGCGGCAGCGCGGGGCAACCUGGCGGCGGGCGGCGGACGGGUGAGGAAUGCAUCGGAAUCUACCCUGUCGUGGGGGAUAACGUAGGGAAACUUACGCUAAUACCGCAUACGACCGAGAGGUGAAAGUGGGGGACCGCAAGGCCUCACGCGAUUGGAUGAGCCGAUGCCGGAUUAGCUAGUUGGUGGGGUAAAGGCCCACAAGGCGACGAUCCGUAGCUGGUCUGAGAGGAUGAUCAGCCACAUUGGGACUGAGACACGGCCCAAACUCCUACGGGAGGCAGCAGUGGGAAUAUGGACAAUGGGCGCAAGCCUGAUCCGAGCCAUCGCCGCGUGUGUGAAGAAGG
rnacentral:rRNA from 1 species